UCCCUUUCGACCACCUGUGAAGGAUGUUUUACAUUUCCUCACAGAGUUAUUUGAUCAAGCAUCUAUUGGGAGAUGGUUGAAGGACGUCCUAAAGGAGGCAGGAGUAGAUACGUGUGUCUUCAAGGCACAUUCCACAAGGAGUGCGUCUACGUCUUCAGCGAGAAGAAGUGGAGUUUCGGUUCAGGACAUUUUGAAUGCUGCAGAUUGGUCUAGAGAGACAACAUUCAAUCGCUUCUAUUAUCGCCAGACUUAUUCAAGCUCUUUUGGCAGAGCAGUCCUGUCAUAGGUGGUUGACAGAUUGGACAUUUUGACAUUACUGGACGUCACAUUUUUGUUAUUGUUGCAAUAAACAUUUCAUUUCAUCA